CAUGUGAACAAAGUUCUUGGCAACCUGUAUUCAUUAUGAGAUGAGCCCCUGCUUGCUUUGAAGUUGUCUCUAGAACUCAGAGUGAAGUAGUGAUUCUGUCCCCAGAAGAGUCCCACAUUCUUGCAUAUUUAAGGGUGGAACAAGUCUCAGGAGCAAGGGAUCCCUAUAAAGAAUGAAAGAGUGAGAGACCAGAGGACCAGUCAACUUUGGAAUAUGGCUGUGCCUGGGACUGCACCUGCAGCCUCUAAGAAGUCAAGCAUAGAAUUGUCUGGUGAAUUUGGGAGGUGAAAGCAGACUUGCAUCACUCAGCCCUGCAGUCUUCUCUCCUUCCACGAAUCUGUCUUUCUCAGCCAGAUGCUCUUUGGUCUGAUUUUCCAUGAAGACUUUUCUGUAGGGACCAGCCCUGCACCCCAAGGAGGAUGAGCCCAAGCAAGAAAAUGUUGUAUUGAGAAGCUCACAGUAGCUGUUGAGUUAAGCUAUAUUUCUUCCAGUCAGUUUCUAUCUGUGGCAAAGUGUUUACUUUCAUUUCUUUGAGCAUUAUUUU